CCUACGGGAGGCAGCAGUAAGGAAUAUUGGACAAUGGGCGAAAGCCUGAUCCAGCCAUGCCGCGUGAAGGAUUAAGGUCCUCUGGAUUGUAAACUUCUUUUAUGUGGGACGAAGAAAGGGCAUUCUUGCUCACUUGACGGUACCAUUUGAAUAAGCACCGGCUAACUCCGUGCCAGCAGCCGCGGUAAUACGGAGGGUGCAAGCGUUAUCCGGAUUCACUGGGUUUAAAGGGUGCGUAGGCGGGUAGGUAAGUCAGUGGUGAAAUCUCGAAGCUUAACUUCGAAACUGCCAUUGAUACUAUCUAUCUUGAAUAUUGUGGAGGUUUGCGGAAUAUGUCAUGUAGCGGUGAAAUGCUUAGAUAUGACAUAGAACACCGAUUGCGAAGGCAGCAGGCUACACAUAUAUUGACGCUGAGGCACGAAAGCGUGGGGAUCAAACAGGAUUAGAUACCCUGGUAGUCCACGCCCUAAACGAUGAUUACUCGACAUACGCGAUACACUGUGUGUGUCUGAGNGAAGANAUUAAGUAAUACCACCGAGGAGUACGUCCGCGAGAGAGAAACGUACGAAAGAAGUUAGACGGACGUUAGAGACGNGCCGACGGACGACACGAGGGGAGGUUAGG
rnacentral:rRNA from 1 species